GAGAGGGUGGCGUUGUAGGGCUCCACCACGGUGUCCGACACCUUGGGCGAGGGCAGGAUGCUGAAUGUGUUUAUGAUCCUGUCUGGGUACUCCUCCCGGAUCUUACUGA
rnacentral:miRNA from 10 species